rnacentral:rRNA from 1 species
GUGGGGAAUUUUGGACAAUGGGCGAAAGCCUGAUCCAGCAAUGCCGCGUGUGUGAAGAAGGCCUUCGGGUUGUAAAGCACUUUUGUCCGGAAAGAAAUCCUUUGGGUUAAUACCUCGGAGGGAUGACGGUACCGGAAGAAUAAGGACCGGCUAACUACGUGCCAGCAGCCGCGGUAAUACGUAGGGUCCGAGCGUUAAUCGGAAUUACUGGGCGUAAAGCGUGCGCAGGCGGUUUUGUAAGACAGAUGUGAAAUCCCCGGGCUUAACCUGGGAAUUGCAUUUGUGACUGCAAGGCUAGAGUGUGUCAGAGGGGGGUAGAAUUCCACGUGUAGCAGUGAAAUGCGUAGAGAUGUGGAGGAAUACCGAUGGCGAAGGCAGCCCCCUGGGAUAACACUGACGCUCAUGCACGAAAGCGUGGGGAGCAAACAGGAUUAGAAACCCUUGUAGUCC